rnacentral:rRNA from 1 species
AGAGUUUGAUCCUGGCUCAGAACGAACGCUGGCGGCGCGCCUAAUACAUGCAAGUCGAGCGAGAAGGUGUAGCAAUACACUUGUAAAGCGGCGAACGGGUGAGGAAUACAUGGGUAAUCUACCAUCGAGUGGGGAAUAACCAACCGAAAGGUUGGCUAAUACCGCGUACGCCUCCGAGUCUUCGGGUUCGGAGGGAAAGCUGCACUGUGAGUGUAGCGCUCUUUGAUGAGCUCAUGUCCUAUCAGCUUGUUGGUAGGGUAACGGCCUACCAAGGCUUUGACGGGUAGCUGGUCUGAGAGGACGAUCAGCCACACUGGCACUGCGACACGGGCCAGACUCCUACGGGAGGCAGCAGUAAGGAAUAUUGCGCAAUGGGCGAAAGCCUGACGCAGCGACGCCGCGUGGGGGAUGAAGGUCUUCGGAUUGUAAACCCCUUUCGGGAGGGAAGAUGGAGCGAGCAAUCGUUCGGACGGUACCUCCAGAAGCAGCCACGGCCAACUUCGUGCCAGCAGCCGCGGUAAUACGAAGGUGGCAAGCGUUGUUCGGAUUCACUGGGCGUACAGGGUGUGUAGGCGGUUUGGUAAGCCUUCUGUUAAAGCUUCGGGCCCAACCCGGAAAGCGCAGAGGGUACUGCCAGGCUAGAGGGUGGGAGAGGAGCGCGGAAUUCCCGGUGUAGCGGUGAAAUGCGUAGAGAUCGGGAGGAAGGCCGGUGGCGAAGGCGGCGCUCUGGAACAUACCUGACGCUGAGACACGAAAGCGUGGGGAGCAAACAGGAUUAGAUACCCUGGUAGUCCACGCCCUAAAC